UGGGGAAUUUUGGACAAUGGGGGCAACCCUGAUCCAGCCAUUCCGCGUGAGUGAAGAAGGCCUUAGGGUUGUAAAACUCUUUCGUCGGGGACGAUAAUGACGGUACCCGAAGAAGAAGCUCCGGCUAACUUCGUGCCAGCAGCCGCGGUAAUACGAAGGGGGCUAGCGUUGUUCGGAAUCACUGGGCGUAAAGCGCACGUAGGCGGAUAGUUAAGUCAGGGGUGAAAUCCUGGGGCUCAACCCCAGAACUGCCUUUGAUACUGGCUGUCUCGAGGUCGAGAGAGGUUGGUGGAAUUCCUAGUGUAGAGGUGAAAUUCGUAGAUAUUAGGAAGAACACCAGUGGCGAAGGCGGCCAACUGGCUCGAUACUGACGCUGAGGUGCGAAAGCGUGGGGAGCAAACAGGAUUAGAUACCCUAGUAGUCCCUGAGCGGGCUGGCAAGGCGCAU
rnacentral:rRNA from 1 species